CUAGCGUGGGCUCUACGAGCAAGGCAAGUCGUUGAAGUGUAUUUUUCAUUAGGAAACUGUACAAAAAACAAGUUUCUAAUGAGAUCUUUCUAUGAACCUACCUCAGAGUAUAUAGGGGAUCAUAGUUACGGAUUUUUCCCAGCAACACAUGGGUUCACACGGGUAUUAUAUUAUAUAGCUCCCAGAGGGUGGCACCGGCGAUAUUUCUAUACCCGCACACAACUCCCCUCUGCAAUUUGAAUUCCCAAAAAACCCCCCCCCUCUCCGGGGGGGGGCUGCGGAAGGAUCAUUAUUCGUAGGUUCAUAUAUGCGAAUGAGUUGUGGUGGUAAUAGAAUAUUAGCAUAGUAGCACACUUUAGGAGCUAUAUAAUAUAUACACCUAGUAGAACCAACUAGUAGUCUGGAGAAAUCCUAACUAUGAUUACCCUAUAUAACUUUUAUUGUAGUUACAUAGAACGAUCUCAUAUUGAAAGUUUGUUUUUUGACAAGUUUCUUUUAAUUAAAAAAUAUACAACUUUCAACAACGGAUGUCUUGGCUCUUGCAUCUAUGAAGAACGCAGCGAAAUGCGAUAAGUAAUGUGAAUUGCUGCAAUCCCGUGAAUCAUCUAAUCUUUGAACGCACCUUGCGCCCUUUGGUAUUCCGAGGGGCAUGCCUGUUUGAGAGUCAUUAAAUUCUCAACCUUACAAAUUUUUGUAUUUGUCAAGGCUUGUAUGUGAGAGUUGUUGGUUAUAGUAUAUUUUGACUGGGUUUUUUUAAAACUAUUAGUAGGACAUGUAGAAAUGCCUACGGUUGGUGUGAUAAUAUGUUUACGCCUAUACCGGAAGGGGAUUCUAGCUUGUAUGUACUACUUAUAAAAUCAUGCGCAUAUAUCUAGCAUAUAAUUGCAUAUAUUGACCAUUUGACCUCAAAUGCAGGUAGAAGCUACCCGCUAAACUUAACCAUAUCAAUAACCGGAAGAA
rnacentral:rRNA from 1 species